AUUGAACGCUGGCGGCAGGCCUAACACAUGCAAGUCGAGCGGAGCGGCGGACGGGUGAGUAAUGACUAGGAAUCUGACUGGUCGAGGGGGAUAACGUCAGGACACGGGCGCUAAUACCGUAUAAUAUCAGAUGAGCCUAGGUCGGAUAAGCUAGUUGGUGGGGUAAAGGCCUACCAGGGCGACGAUCCGUAACUGUUCUGAGAGGAUGAUCAGUCACACUGGGAAUGAGACAAGGUCCAGACUCCUACGGGAGGCAGCAGUGGGGAAUAUUGGGCAAUGGGCGAAAGCCUGAACCAGCCAUGCCGCGUGUGUGAAGAAGGUCUUCGGAUUGUAAAGCACUUUAAGUUGGGAAGCGUUACCAACAGAAUAAGCACCGGCUAACUUCGUGCCAGCAGCCGCGGUAAUUC
rnacentral:rRNA from 1 species